GACGAACGCUGGCGGCGUGCUUAACACAUGCAAGUCGAACGGAAAGGCCCUGCUUUUGUGGGGUGCUCGAGUGGCGAACGGGUGAGUAACACGUGAGUAACCUGCCCUUGACUUUGGGAUAACUUCAGGAAACUGGGGCUAAUACCGGAUAGGAGCUCCUGCUGCAUGGUGGGGGUUGGAAAGUUUCGGCGGUUGGGGAUGGACUCGCGGCUUAUCAGCUUGUUGGUGGGGUAGUGGCUUACCAAGGCUUUGACGGGUAGCCGGCCUGAGAGGGUGACAGGCCACAUUGGGACUGAGAUACGGCCCAGACUCCUACGGGAGGCAGCAGUGGGGAAGAUUGCACAAUGAGCGGAAGCCGGAUGCAGCGACUCCGCGUGCGGGAUGACGGCCUUCGGGUUGUAAACCGCUUUCGCCUGUGACUAAGCGUGAGUGACGGUAAUGGGUAAAGAAGCACCGGCUAACUACGUG
rnacentral:rRNA from 1 species